rnacentral:tRNA from 1 species
AGCGGGGUGGAGCAGUGGUCAGCUCGGCAGCUUCAUAAGCUGAAGGUCGUGAGUUCGAAUCUCACCCCCGCAACC